rnacentral:rRNA from 1 species
AAUAUUGCACAAUGGGCGCAAGCCUGAUGCAGCCAUGCCGCGUGUGUGAAGAAGGCCUUCGGGUUGUAAAGCACUUUCAGUCGUGAGGAAGGUAGUGUAGUUAAUAGCUGCAUUAUUUGACGUUAGCGACAGAAGAAGCACCGGCUAACUCCGUGCCAGCAGCCGCGGUAAUACGGAGGGUGCGAGCGUUAAUCGGAAUUACUGGGCGUAAAGCGCAUGCAGGUGGUUUGUUAAGUCAGAUGUGAAAGCCCGGGGCUCAACCUCGGAAUAGCAUUUGAAACUGGCAGACUAGAGUACUGUAGAGGGGGUAGAAUUUCAGGUGUAGCGGUGAAAUGCGUAGAGAUCUGAAGGAAUACCGGUGGCGAAGGCGGCCCCCUGGACAGAUACUGACACUCAGAUGCGAAAGCGUGGGGAGCAAACAGGAUUAGAUACCCUGGUAG